GCUCUGUGGAUCAGUGGCGAACGGGUGAGUAACACGUGAGCAACCUGCCCUGGACUCUGGGAUAAGCGCUGGAAACGGCGUCUAAUACUGGAUAUGAAUCGCGACCGCAUGGUCAGUGGUUGGAAAGAUUUUUCGGUCUGGGAUGGGCUCGCGGCCUAUCAGCUUGUUGGUGAGGUAAUGGCUCACCAAGGCGUCGACGGGUAGCCGGCCUGAGAGGGUGACCGGCCACACUGGGACUGAGACACGGCCCAGACUCCUACGGGAGGCAGCAGUGGGGAAUAUUGCACAAUGGGCGGAAGCCUGAUGCAGCAACGCCGCGUGAGGGACGACGGCCUUCGGGUUGUAAACCUCUUUUAGCAAGGAAGAAGCGAAAGUGACGGUACUUGCAGAAAAAGCGCCGGCUAACUACGUGCCAGCAGCCGCGGUAAUACGUAGGGCGCAAGCGUUAUCCGGAAUUAUUGGGCGUAAAGAGCUCGUAGGCGGUUUGUCGCGUCUGCUGUGAAAACCCGAGGCUCAACCUCGGGCCUGCAGUGGGUACGGGCAGACUAGAGUGCGGUAGGGGAGAUUGGAAUUCCUGGUGUAGCGGUGGAAUGCGCAGAUAUCAGGAGGAACACCGAUGGCGAAGGCAGAUCUCUGGGCCGUAACUGACG
rnacentral:rRNA from 1 species